UUCAAAAUGUUUAUAUACUUAGUUAUAUACAUUUUAGUUCAAAGCUUUUUCUUUAUUCUCCAGAUAAUCUGAAACCAAUUGCAGAGGAGGAGAGGAGAAUAGAAGAGGAGGAGAAGAAGGUACGAGAGGAGAAGGAACGCAUUGCUAAACAGCUAGCAGAAGCUAAUGAGGACACAAUCUUGAAGUGAGCUGCCCAAAAUGACUCCUGUAUCGUUUCUGAUGUAAAGAUCGUGUUACCUGUCUGGAUAAAGAAUAAUGCUUGUAUUCUGCCACUUUGGUUUUACAGUGCCCUUUUCACACCUGUCGCUGUUUUCUAAUAGAUCAUGUCAGAUUAAUGCCUCAUUUUGUGAAAUAAUAACUGAAUACAUGCAAAUAUAUGUGUAUAAAUUUCCUCUGA